rnacentral:rRNA from 1 species
AUUGAACGCUGGCGGCGCGCUUAACACAUGCAAGUCGAGCGAAGCGGCGGACGGGUGAGUAACACGUGAGUAACCUGCCUUAGACAUUGGGAUAGCCUCGGGAAACCGGGAUUAAUACCAAAUGGUCUAAGAUGGACUCGGGUCCCAUUAUCUAGUUGGUGAGGUAACGGCCCACCAAGGCGACGAUGGGUAGCCGGCUGGGUGUGGGGAACGGGUAGAGUGGAACUGCGAAACAGUCCAAACUCUACGGGAGGGAGGAGUGUGGAAUAUUGCACAAGGGAGGGAACUGUGAUGCAGCGACGCCGCGUGAACGAAGAAGGCUUUUGAGUCGUAAAGUUCUUUUAUAUGAGAAGCGGUACCAUAAGAAAAAGCCCCGGCUAACUACGUGCCAGCAGCCGCGGUAAUAC